rnacentral:rRNA from 1 species
GACGAACGCUGGCGGCGUGCUUAACACAUGCAAGUCGAACGAAGUGGCGAACGGGUGAGUAACGCGUAAUCAACCUGCCCUUCAGAGGGGGACAACAGUUGGAAACGACUGCUAAUACCGCAUACUGAAGGAGGGGAUUGCGUCUGAUUAGCUAGUUGGAGGGGUAACGGCACACCAAGGCGAUGAUCCCUAGCUGGUCUGAGGGGAUGACCAGCCACACUGGAACUGGGAAACGGGCCAGACUCCUACGGGAGGCAGCAGUGGGGAAUCUUCCGCAAUGGACGAAAGUCUGACGAAGCAACGCCGCGUGGGUGAUGACGGCCUUCGGGUUGUAAAGCUCUGUUAAUCGGGACGCGGUACCGGAAUAGAAAGCCACGGCUAACUACGUGCCAGCAGCCGCGGUAAUUC